UGGGGAAUUUUGGACAAUGGGCGCAAGCCUGAUCCAGCCAUGCCGCGUGUGGGAAGAAGGCCUUCGGGUUGUAAACUGCUUUUGUACGGAACGAAACGGCCUUCUCUAAUACAGAGGGCUAAUGACGGUACCGUAAGAAUAAGCACCGGCUAACUACGUGCCAGCAGCCGCGGUAAUACGUAGGGUGCAAGCGUUAAUCGGAAUUACUGGGCGUAAAGCGUGCGCAGGCGGUUAUGUAAGACAGUUGUGAAAUCCCCGGGCUCAACCUGGGAACUGCAUCUGUGACUGCAUAGCUAGAGUACGGUAGAGGGGGAUGGAAUUCCGCGUGUAGCAGUGAAAUGCGUAGAUAUGCGGAGGAACACCGAUGGCGAAGGCAAUCCCCUGGACCUGUACUGACGCUCAUGCACGAAAGCGUGGGGAGCAAACAGGAUUAGAUACCCACGUAGUCCCUGAGCGGGCUGGCAAGGCGCAU
rnacentral:rRNA from 1 species